rnacentral:rRNA from 1 species
UACGUAGGGGGCUAGCGUUGUCCGGAAUCAUUGGGCGUAAAGAGCGUGUAGGCGGUCCGGUAAGUCCGCUGUGAAAGUCGGGGGCUCAACCCUCGAAUGCCGGUGGAUACUGUCGGGCUAGAGUGCGGAAGAGGCGAGUGGAAUUCCUGGUGUAGCGGUGAAAUGCGCAGAUAUCAGGAGGAACACCGGUGGCGAAGGCGGCUUGCUGGGCCUUACCUGACGCUGAGGAGCGAAAGCGUGGGGAGCGAACAGG